GACGAACGCUGGCGGCGUGCUUAACACAUGCAAGUCGAACGGAAAGGCCCUGCUUUUGUGGGGUGCUCGAGUGGCGAACGGGUGAGUAACACGUGAGUAACCUGCCCUUGACUUUGGGAUAACUUCAGGAAACUGGGGCUAAUACCGGAUAGGAGCUCCUGCUGCAUGGUGGGGGUUGGAAAGUUUCGGCGGUUGGGGAUGGACUCGCGGCUUAUCGGCUUGUUGGUGGGGUAGUGGCUUACCAAGGCUUUGACGGGUAGCCGGCCUGAGAGGGUGACCGGCCACAGUGGGAAUGAGAGAGGGCCCAGACGCCUACGGGAGGCAGCAGUGGGGAAUAUUGCACAAUGGGCGGAAGCCUGAUGCAGCAACGCCGCGUGCGGGAUGACGGCCUUCGGGUUGUAAACCGCUUUCGCCUGUGACGAAGCGUGAGUGACGGUAAUGGGUAAAGAAGCACCGGCUAACUACGUG
rnacentral:rRNA from 1 species